rnacentral:rRNA from 1 species
AUUGAACGCUGGCGGCAUGCCUUACACAUGCAAGUCGAACGGCAGCACGGGGGCAACCCUGGUGGCGAGUGGCGAACGGGUGAGUAAUGCAUCGGAACGUGUCCUAUCGUGGGGGAUAACCAGUCGAAAGACUGGCUAAUACCGCAUGCGAUCGGAAGAUGAAAGCGGGGGACCCGCAAGGGCCUCGCGCGACGGGAGCGGCCGAUGCCGGAUUAGCUAGUUGGUGGGGUAAAAGCCCACCAAGGCGACGAUCCGUAGCUGGUUUGAGAGAACGACCAGCCACACUGGGACUGAGACACGGCCCAGACUCCUACGGGAGGCAGCAGUGGGGAAUUUUGGACAAUGGGCGCAAGCCUGAUCCAGCCAUGCCGCGUGUGUGAAGAAGGCCUUCGGGUUGUAAAGCACUUUCGGACGGAACGAAAUCGCGCGGGUGAAUAAUCCGCGUGGCUGACGGUACCGUAAGAAGAAGCACCGGCUAACUACGUGCCAGCAGCCGCCGUAAAAC